AGAGGACAACCUAAUGCACCCUGUGGUGUGUGAACAAGAUCAAGCCGAAGGACAAGAGGAUGCUUCUGCACAGGAGGGGAUGAAAACUGGGACAGAUCCCCAAAGCAUGGAAGUAGAAGAGACGUUCUUGAACCAAAAAGACUCAACAGAAGCUGAGAAAUCUUUGAUUCCCAGUGCAACUGAAGAUGAAGAAAAAG